GGGAAGCUUAAACGGACGUGUGAUAACCAGACGCAAACGUGGAUCACAGAAGGAGAAUGUGAAGAAUAUAGUUUCCCUUUGGAUAUAACCGAAAUGCGAUUGGUAAAUGGUACAAAUUCAAGAAAUGGAAGGGUCGAGCUGAAAUCAUUGGGAACAUGGGGAACUGUAUGCGAUGAUCGUUUUGGAAUGCAAGAGGCUAAUACUAUAUGCAGUAUGCUAGGAUAUCCUCCAGCAGUAACGUAUUAUGUCGAUGCACAUUAUGGACCAGGCACAGGGCCAAUAUUUGUGGACGAUCUGAGCUGUGGGGGAGACGCAUUACAUAUUAACAACUGCACGUAUAUUACAUAUGACAACUGUGGCCAUGACGAUGAUGUUUCUGUUGUUUGCAC